rnacentral:rRNA from 1 species
UACAGAGGUCUCAAGCGUUGUUCGGAUUCAUUGGGCGUAAAGGGUGCGUAGGCGGAGAGGUAAGUCGGGUGUGAAAUCUCGGAGCUUAACUCCGAAACUGCAUUCGAUACUGCCGUGCUUGAGGACUGGAGAGGAGACUGGAAUUUACGGUGUAGCGGUGAAAUGCGUAGAUAUCGUAAGGAAGACCAGUGGCGAAGGCGGGUCUCUGGACAGUUCCUGACGCUGAGGCACGAAGGUCAGGGGAGCAAACGGG